rnacentral:rRNA from 1 species
UGCGCAGGUGGGCUUGUAAGUCAGUGGUGAAAUACUGCCGCUUAACGGUAGAACUGCCAUUGAUACUGCAAGUCUUGAGUAUGAUUGAGGUAGGCGGAAUGUGUUGUGUAGCGGUGAAAUGCAUAGAUAUGACACAGAACUCCAAUUGCGAAGGCAGCUUACUAAGCCAUUACUGACGCUGAGGCACGAAAGCGUGGGGAGCGAACAGGAUUAGAUACCCUGGUAGUCC